rnacentral:rRNA from 1 species
AUUGAACGCUGGCGGCAGGCCUAACACAUGCAAGUCGAGCGGAGCGGCGGACGGGUGAGUAAUGACUAGGAAUCUGCCUGCUUGUGGGGGAGAACGAACGGAAAGGAGCGGUAAUACCGCAUACUAUCAAAUAAGCCUAGGGCGGAUUAGCUAGUUGGUGGGGUAAAGGCCUACCAAGGCGACGAUCCGUAGCUGGUCUGAGAGGAUGAUCAGUCAAACUGGAACUGAGACACGGUCCAGACUCCUACGGGAGGCAGCAGGGGGGAAUAGUGGACAAUGGGCGAAAGCCUGAUGCAGCCAUGCCGCGUGUGUGAAGAAGGUCUUCGGAUUGUAAAGCACUUUAAGUUGGGAGGCGUUACCAACAGAAGAAGCACCGGCUAACUUCGUGCCAGCAGCCGCGGUAAUAC